CCCAGCUGACGGGCGCGGACCUCUACUCUCUCUGCUCUGAUGCUAUGACAGCUGCCCUCAAACGCAGGGUUCAUGACCUGGAGGAAGGGCUGGAGCCAGGUAGCUCAGCACUGAUGCUCACCAUGGAGGACUUGCUGCAGGCUGCCGCCCGGCUGCAACCCUCAGUCAGUGAGCAGGAGCUGCUCCGGUACAAGCGCAUCCAGCGCAAGUUUGCUGCCUGCUAGGAGCCCCCCAGGGUCUGGGACCCCGCUCAGCAUGGCUGCAGGUACCUUGAUAGCCCACAGAGAGAUCUGGGAAGGAAGGGCUCCUCCUCAGGCUGCUGCCAACCCACCUGGAGGCCACCUCCCUCCAGGAGAUCCCAGGGUGCAAAGUGGCAUUGAGACAGCAGCAACAGCUCAAGAGAUAUCUCCUGCCUACUUGCCCCUCCUUCCAGGCCGGCUCUAAGAGAAAGGCCCAUCUACUCAGGAAGAGGGCCAGGGCCUUGGGUUCUGGGGAUUGGGCCCUGAGAGGGCUAGUUCUGUGGCUGAAAAUAAAGCAUGUCCCGCCCC
rnacentral:lncRNA from 1 species